UAUUACCUAUUAUUUACUAUCAUAUUAUUAUUAUUAUUUAUUAGUUAGAUUAGAUUAUUCCAAUACACGUGUACCCUACCGCUAAUGACGUAUCCACUAAAGUAUUUUAUAAUUAUUGUUAAAAAAUACACUCUGUUUCUAACAGGAACAACAAAACAAUAAUAAUAACGCAGUCAACAGAUAUCGCACAUGACGUGUUAAAACGCAAAACAAAACAGUAGCCACUAGUCAUAAAACUAGAAUAUUCAUGACGUAUAUUGUCACACCUCACACGAUAGUGGCUCAGCAGUUUUGUGUUAUACUUAUAACAUAUUGGUAGUUGUUGUAGUAGGCACUUAGGAAACAAGGCCUGAAAGAAAUUGUUGAAAUAAAAAUAUGGUAAAAUGUUCAGGAAACCCAACCCCUAUCAGAAGUAAAAUAUAAUAUCACAAUUAUUUACAAUGCAGAAUGCAGAUUACAGCUAUACUUGUAUAAUAUUACAAUGUGAAGUCGAAGUUAUAUAUCUACAGCCGUUAUCUUAUAUAAAAUGUCUUAAAUAAUAUAAGUGUCUUAUGGAGUAAUAAUAUUAAGUGACAAUUGAAGCAGUAAUACAAUAAUAUAUAAUAGGCAUAUAAAAUGGCAAUAACCAAUAAGAAAAAAAAUUCACGGAAAAAAUUGUCUUAAAUUCCAAUAAUGAUUUGUUUAAUAACACACAUCGGACAAUUACCUAGCGUGAAUGAGUUUGGCAGACCGGGAUUCUCGUACCAAAACCGAUCGCCCUUUUUCAAAUCACUGAACGUCUUGGCUAUGAUACAUCCAAACGUCGGUCCCACGAUGCUGUCAUCGAUAGA